rnacentral:lncRNA from 1 species
GGCCGCCGGCGACGUGGAGGCGGGAGGGGGAGGGGAGGACGAGCCCAUGACCGCGCAGGCGCAGAGACAACAAAUGGCGGCCAUGAUGAGUCGCCAGGAGACGAUCCACAGCGUUGACUCCUUCGCCUCACACGACGAUGACUUCGCUGAGUAUGGCGAUGAGUCCAUGGAAUUUUUGGAUGGCGACUCAGCGUCUCUGACGAACAUAAAUCUCUGGUGCAGGGACAGAGCCAGCGGCCGAUGGGUGCCUCUGUAAUCUCUUACUGCCUGCCUUAUCAGUGCAAAAUUCUGCCUUAUCAUUGGAAAUCGAACGGUCUUUAUAAUUGCAUCGAACGAUCUUUAUCGUUGCGAAAUUUCUUUAUCAGUGCCGAACUUCCUUAUCAGUGCAAAACUUUCUUAUCUGCGUGGAAAUCUAAAUUGCCAUCAAUGCUGAAAUUUGAAUUGUAACGGUGAAUAUUAUUAACUUCAUCAUCUCCUCGGAAAUCGUACUUUAUUUUCACUACAGAAAUCGAACU